rfam:Chaetura pelagica isolate M959 contig3879, whole genome shotgun sequence.
UAUUUAUCAGUGACAGCGUUCACUAUAAAUG